GUGCCUGUGGGGCCCAUCCUGGUGACCUCACCAUCCACCAGAGAAGGGCCCUUUCUUCCCAAAGGCAGCCCUUGGGAAUCCGCCUGGGGACAAAGCCGCUGCCAAGUGGGGGACCAGUGAGUGGCUGGCCCUCCUCAUGGCAUAAAUUAAGGGGGGCCGGGGAGUGCAGUUGCAGCUGGCGCCUGUGAAGGGCACACAUCCCCCACGCACAGGGAUACUACCCACCUGUCCCCCGUCACAUUCAUCCGUCCCCCCUGAUUAUAGGUGGCUCUUGGGAACAGGAGACAAAGCCUCUCCAAACAGCCACACAAGGUCAUGUGACCACAUUCAGUACCCAAAGGCCAAGAGGAAAUCUCACUUGGGGGGGGGCCCUCCCUGAGCUUGGCAAGGCUCCAAGCUCUGCAGUGUGGGGUGUCUUGGCAGGUCACAGAAAACCACUUUUAAAGAAAGUCUGGCCUGGCAGUGGUGGCGCACGCCUUUAGUCCCAGCACUCGGGAGGCAGAGGCAGGCAGAUCUCUGAGUUCGAGACCAGCCUGGUCUACAAGACAGGACAGGUUCCAAAGCCACAGAGAAACCCUGUCUCGAAAAACCGACAAAGUCUGCUUCAUCAGGACACUGAACACUGAAAGGCUGAUGGGCCACUCUCGGAAAGGGAAAGGUGCACCUGAAGUGACUUCCAGGUACUAAGAUUACCCAGAGUUCAAUUUUAAAACCUGCAGUCAGACUUGAAGGGCAUUCUAAAGCUGUAACACAGAGCAGUCAGCACACUGCUUUGGCCAAAUGGAGGACUCUAGGGACUUUGGUGAGGAGCCACAAGCUCUGGGGACCCACUGUUCUGUGAAUGGUGCACUUAAGCUAAUUUAUUCAUCCGUCAUAGUUUUACAAGUUUAAAGAGAAUUUCCUUACAAAGUUUCCAAAUCUACAUUCUGUGUGUGUGUGGGGGGAACCCCAAAACAACAUAGUUCACCAAAGUUGAAAAGGGUGGCUCUCACAGGGUCAUGUAAUAAAAUGGGGUUUAUUAGACA
rnacentral:lncRNA from 1 species